rnacentral:lncRNA from 1 species
GGUUUGGAGGUGGGGAGCUCUCCUGCAGCCUGGCCUUCACCUUUGACUCCACGUUUUCGUAUUUCUGGGAUUUCCACAGAGCUUUCACAGGUUUGGGCUGGCUGCGCUCCUGGGCUCUCUCCCUCUCUUUGCACUUCUUCUGAAUCUCCUUUAUUCGCCUGACGUUUUCCUUCUCGUGGUCCUUGGACUCCUUCCUCUUUGCCGGCAGACCCCCACCAAGAGAGAGCCCAUCGAGCUGCAGCAGGAGGCCGAGCGUCCCCUUCUGCCCCUUCUCCAAGAAGCCCCUUCCGCUGGGGCGGAUGCGCGGGGCCGGCUGGGGCCGGUGGGCACUGCUCAGAGCACGGGGCGAG